AUCUAACGUUACGAAUCAAAACAUUAAAGCGGUCCAAAAUUAGUGCACAUUUUAGUGCAACAGUUAUAAAAAGUGCGAGUUGCAAGUGACAUAAACAAACUUAUUAAUGGCAGAAAGUAGCGACACGUCAGAUGAGAGUUUGGAUGCAACAAGUGAGAAAUUCGAUCCGCUGAAAGCUUUGUAUUCGACCAAAGUGAAACUAUCAUCUUCCGCGCCAAUUUACGAUAACAUUGCGAAAUUCGAGUCCAUCCUAAAGGGAAUCAGUGUAUCAACAAAAAGUAGCAAACCGUCUGUGGAAGAACCUUCGAAACAGAGAUUUUUACCGCAUCAAGAACCGGUGUCGAGAAAAAGACGCGAGCGGAAGAAUGUCCUCACGAAAAUGCAAAAAAUUCUCGGCCCGUUGGGGAUGCUCCACGGGUGCAUGGAGAAUAGAAUUCGGAUUAAGGUCUACACUAGAAACGCGCGCGGCAUAAGGGGACACGUGGAGGCAUAUGUGGCCGCCUUCGACAAGCAUUGGAACCUCGCGCUGGAGGACUGCUUCGAGACCUGGUCCCGGAAAGUGAAGAAAAAAGCGCCUGCUCUAGGUACCGGUGCGGUCAAGGUAGCGGCAGAUGAUCUCCCUAAGGCGGUAGUGAAGAUGGUUAAAGGGAAGUCGGAGAUCUUGGAAAGACACGUGCCACAAAUGCUACUAAGGGGAGAACAGAUCGCUAUAAUCGUCAAAAUCAAUUGACUAUGCGUGAUUCACGUGUACUAUUGCCAUAAGGAUCGCUCAAUACACGAUACCAGAUAUAUAUCAGAGAACCAAGUAGAACAGAUUAAAAUUUUCUAAUAUUUGAUAAAGAAAUCCAAUCUGCUCGAUAGAAAUACAUUAAUCAAGUACGAUGAAAACACA
rnacentral:misc_RNA from 1 species